UACGUAGGGUGCGAGCGUUAAUCGGAAUUACUGGGCGUAAAGCGUGCGCAGGCGGCUUCGCAAGUCAGGCGUGAAAUCCCCGGGCUUAACCUGGGAAUGGCGUCUGAAACUACGGAGCUGGAAUGUGGCAGAGGGAGGUAGAAUUCCACGUGUAGCAGUGAAAUGCGUAGAUAUGCGGAGGAACACCGAUGGCGAAGGCAAUCCCCUGGGCCUGCACUGACGCUCAUGCACGAAAGCGUGGGGAGCGAACAGG
rnacentral:rRNA from 1 species